GACGAACGCUGGCGGCGUGCUUAACACAUGCCAGUCGAACGGAAAGGCCCUGCUUUUGUGGGGUGCUCGAGUGGCGAACGGGUGAGUAACACGUGAGUAACCUGCCCUUGACUUUGGGAUAACUUCAGGAAACUGGGGCUAAUACCGGAUAGGAGCUCCUGCUGCAUGGUGGGGGUUGGAAAGUUUCGGCGGUUGGGGAUGGACUCGCGGCUUUCAGCUUGUUGGUGGGGUAGUGGCUUACCAAGGCUUUGACGGGUAGCCGGCCUGAGAGGGUGACCGGCCACAUUGGGACUGAGAUACGGCCCAGACUCCUACGGGAGGCAGCAGUGGGGAAUAUUGCACAAUGGGCGGAAGCCUGAUGCAGCAACGCCGCGUGCGGGAUGACGGCCUUCGGGUUGUAAACCGCUUUCGCCUGUGACGAAGCGUGAGUGACGGUAAUGGGUAAAGAAGCACCGGCUAACUACGUG
rnacentral:rRNA from 1 species